CCCCUCUCUGUCUCUCUCUGUCUCUGUCUCUGUCUCUGUCUCUGUCUCUCUCUCUCUCUCUCUCUCUCUCUCUCUCUCUCUGUCUCUCUCUCUGCAAAGAACCCCUCGCCCCUUGAAUCGUUUGGAAGACAAGAAUUACAUGCCCCACAGGGCCCUUAAAAUUAGGAAAUUCACCUGGAUGAUUUACGACCUACAGUCCAGGACCCCUUCAGUCCCUCAUUGCGGGGGUCAUAUUCUUCACAGCCAGAAUCUCCCGUUGGAAUGCAUUGUAUUUACUGCUCGUCCCCUUAGACUUCUCCGGAUCCAAACACUUGGCUUUCUCAAGGCAAGCACUGCAGAGGCUGUGCAGGUCGAGUCCAGAGAAGUUCCACAAAGAAUCUACACUACUCAACCAGGCACAUGCAGACAGCUCAUCGGUCCAAGGAUGGAAAAAUGAAGACGACAUGACUCUGGAAUUUGGAGAGGUCAGUCCUUCCUAGGCUGUUGGCUUUAUUGCAAUGACCCCUCAAGUCAAUAUUGGACAAACCACACUCAGCCUCCAUUACCUUUCUGUUAUCUUGGGAGAGGAUCCCAGUCGA
rnacentral:lncRNA from 1 species